rnacentral:snoRNA from 1 species
CCCCUCAAAUACCACCUUAUCCGUGAGGCCUUCUCUGGCCACCCCUUUAAAACCUGCGAUUGUGGUGGUCAUAGAGGAGGAAAAGUAAUAGUGAAGCUGGCCUCACAGUGCCUACAGUCUGCGGGCUAGUUUCAAACAAGG